GCCUUUGUAGUAUAAAAAUUACUCUGGUCUUGUAAACCAGGAAUGAGAAAUCAAUUCUCCAAAGACA
rnacentral:tRNA from 1 species